ensembl:lncRNA
CGAACCCUGGUGGCCUUUUUGGACACAGGUUCGAACACAGACCCUCUGGAUUCAAACACAGCUACCAAAAUAGUGCGCUCCCAUUCGCACUGCAUCCAGCGCUGGUUGGCUUGCAGAGUGUUCCAGCGCUGACAGGUGCAAAGACCCCUCUCCAUACCUGAACCCGACCAGCCCAAACCGUGCUAGUUAGACCGUUAUAAUGUCGUAAGUGCGAACAGGCCUAUUAUGGCUACAAAUAGACUAAGGGUCUGGCCUUAUUUUUUUAUUGAACAAAGCAGGUAAAAUUUAGAUUAAAAUUGCGGCCUUUCAAACACACGCUGGCAUAAAAUCUAGUAUUUAGAAGAUGAAGAAAGCAGAAGGUAGAAAAGUUAUUUUAGAUAUGUAAAGCAUGUUUAACAGGGGCUCUUCUGAAGCUGCAGUUUGUCUCUGAUCCAGAAGCAUUGUUCCCUCUUUUUGUCUCUGGACCAAACAGUUUCCACCACUGUAGAGCCAACUCCAAAGCAAAGCAGUCUCUGACAAAACAGGACUAGGCAUGUUGAGCCCGAUCAUGGGGGUUUCUUCAAGAAUGAAGAAUGGACUAUUGGAUGACAAUUUUGGAUUUUUCAAAACACUUCUCUGCUAUGAUCCUUCCAACUACUGUUCCAUAUUAAAUUGAAAGUAUUUCAAUGGUUUAAGAUGCUAAAGUUGUUCAUUCAAUAACUUGUCCCAUGUUAUCUCUAACUUUGUGCAUCUCUUCUGCUUUAUAAACUCCACUGUGAGCCAAACAUAUAAUUCAAUUCCCAAGGACUGCCAUCUGUUGGAGCUUAAGAGCUUUGUCAGUAUAGUCAUCCUUGUGUAAUGUUCUGAGAUUUUCCCCCCCAUAAACCAUCAAGUAGUUCAAAGCCAUAUUAUGCAAGUAAUUGCCCUCUCCAGAACAUGGAGGUUAGGAAAACCAAGGAGACCCAGUCUUCUACCAGUGUAAGUCAAUGGCACGGCAAAGAUCAGGGCAGUCAAGUGGUCUAAAUCAAUGGUAGUGCAGCGGAGAGAUCCAAGCUAUUGUUGUGUCAGUGGCACUAGGGAAGGGUAACUCCGUCUGUCGAGCAAGUUAAUAGAAUCUUAGAGGCCAAAGGCCAAAUCAUAUUGAAAAGUGCACUGAACAGGAGUAGUCAGAUUCUACCAACAGCAUAAAAGCAAAACCAUGCUGUAAAAAAAGUGUGUAAUACAAAAUAAAUCAUAUUUUGCCAACUGUGUAAAAUCA